rnacentral:rRNA from 1 species
AUGUACUUUUGGGAUUUUUGGGAUGAUGAGGACGUAGUAAUUAAGCUUGCAGCUAAAUGUCCAAUGCUACAAGAGAUAGAGUGCUCUCAUCAGAAGCAGCCAUGGCAUUUUUUCACGAGGAUCGGCGCAGCGCGCCCAGAGUUGAAACGUCUAAGAGUCCGUUAUCCUUGGUUCGACUCAGUAUCAAUAUUGAUGGAUGAAGGCGAGGAGGAGGAGGAGUCUGAUGAGGCCUGGGAGGCGAGACAGAAUCAGGAGGCCUUUGCCAUAGCAGAGAGCUUGCAUGAGUUGCGGCUCCUUCAGAUGGCAGGCUAUGGCCUGACCAACAAAGGGGUAUACGCCAUCCUCGAAGGCUGCCCCCACCUUGAGUUCCUCGACCUUAGAGAAUGCCUCCACAUCGAAGUUAACGCUGAACUCCAAGCUCGCUGUGCCAAUAUCAGGCAUGUCCAGCUGCCAGGAGUAGGGCCUUAUGUUCCGUGCCCCGAACUCCAUACUAUCGAGGCGGAUGAAGGUGAAGUGAUCGAGAUGGAUGAUCUCUAUGAAACGGAGGCUCGCUCUCUGCGCAACGAGCUAGCGACGGAAAAUGAUGACUACUACGGCGAGAACAACUGCUGGUAUGACUACUCGCUCCCCUCGUCCCCUGGCUCGCCUGUCGUACCGAUGUACUCGAUGGAUGAUCCCAGAUACUACUGGGAGCUGUAA